UAUAUACUCCCUCCAUCCGGAAAUACUUGUCAGCAAAAUGGAUAAAAGGCAUGUAUCUAGAUGUAUUUUAGUUUUAGAUACAUCCCUUUUUGUCCAUUUUGAUGACAAGUAUUUUCGGACGGAGGGAGUAUAAU
rnacentral:pre_miRNA from 1 species